rnacentral:rRNA from 1 species
UGGGGAAUAUUGCACAAUGGGCGAAAGCCUGAUGCAGCAACGCCGCGUGAGGGACGACGGCCUUCGGGUUGUAAACCUCUUUUAGCAAGGAAGAAGCGAAAGUGACGGUACUUGCAGAAAAAGCGCCGGCUAACUACGUGCCAGCAGCCGCGGUAAUACGUAGGGCGCAAGCGUUAUCCGGAAUUAUUGGGCGUAAAGAGCUCGUAGGCGGUUUGUCGCGUCUGCUGUGAAAACCCGAGGCUCAACCUCGGGCCUGCAGUGGGUACGGGCAGACUAGAGUGCGGUAGGGGAGAUUGGAACUCCUGGUGUAGCGGUGGAAUGCGCAGAUAUCAGGAAGAACACCGAUGGCGAAGGCAGAUCUCUGGGCCGUAACUGACGCUGAGGAGCGAAAGGGUGGGGAGCAAACAGGCUUAGAUACCCUGGUAGUCCACCCCGUAAACGUUGGGAACUAGUUGUGGGGUCCAUUCCACGGAUUCCGUGACGCAGCUAACGCAUUAAGUUCCCCGCCUGGGGAGUACGGCCGCAAGGCU